rnacentral:rRNA from 1 species
GAGUUUGAUUAUGGCUCAGGACGAACGCUGGCGGCGCGCCUAACACAUGCAAGUCGAGGGAGAAGCACAUCUUCGGAUGUGUGGAGACCGGCGAACGGGUGAGUAACACGUGAGAAACCUACCCCGGAGAUGGGAAUAACCACUGUAUAAACUGUGGCUAAUGCCCAAUACUCUCCAAUUACCGCAUGGCAGCUGGAGGAAAAGUCCGCUGCUCCGGGAUGGUCUCGCGGCGUAUCAGCUAGUUGGUGAGGUAAUGGCUCACCAAGGCAACGACGCGUAGCUGGAGUGAGAGCUCGAACAGCCACACUGGGACUGAGACACGGCCCAGACUCCUACGGGAGGCAGCAGUGGGGAAUCUUGCGCAAUGGGCGAAAGCCUGACGCAGCGACGCCGCGUGUGGGAAGAAGGCCUUCGGGUUGUAAACCACUUUCAGGAGGGAAGAAGCGAAAGUGACGGUACCUCCAGAAGAAGGUCCGGCCAACUACGUGCCAGCAGCCGCGGUAAUACGUAGGGACCGAGCGUUGUCCGGAAUUAUUGGGCGUAAAGAGCUCGUAGGCGGUUCUUUAAGUCGGGUGUGAAAUCUCAGGGCUUAACCCUGAAACCGCACCCGAUACUGGAGAACUUGAGGCAGGUAGGGGAGAUCGGAAUUCCUGGUGUAGCGGUGAAAUGCGCAGAUAUCAGAGGAACACCGGGUGGCGAAGCGGAUCUCUGGGCCCUGUUCUGACGCUGAGGAGCGAAAGCGUGGGGGAGCAAACAGGAUUAGAUACCCUGGUAGUCCACGCCGUAAACGAUGGGGUGCUAGGGUGGUUGGGGGAAAAUUAAUU